rfam:Rattus norvegicus chromosome 18, whole genome shotgun sequence.
GGGGACUUAGCUCAGCGGUAGAGCGCUUGCCUAGCAAGCACAAGGCCCUGGGUUUGAUCCUCAGCUCCG